GUAAAAAUAUGCAACUAUGUAUCAUGGGGCUUUGGGGAGAAAAAGGAAAAAUAAAAUCUUUUUAAAAAAACGUUUUUUCCCCUCUAAGGAAAAUGUGACAUAAUUAGCUUCACAGUUGUUUCAGGUACAGGAUUGAUUGUGAAAGGUUAAAGGAGUGUAGGAAAGAUGGAAUGGGUUAUUGUAUCCACAACAAGGACAAAACCCAUAUACAAAUGAAUGUAUUUCAGUUGUCAUAGUUAUGAAACCCCAUUCUGUAACAAAUGGGAAAUAACACCUCAUGGCAGCCAAUCUAAAAUAAUCUCUAUGUGAUGAGUUCCACUGGCAGAUCUGCCAAGAUGCACCAAUUCUCAGUGUGAUCACAUAGAUUUCAUUGGUCACAAACAGAGAAAAGCACAUGAUUGCAUUGAAGACGAUGACAGUGCUGCCAGCCCAGAAAUCACAGCUCAGGCUCCGCGAUAGCAGACUAUCACACCUGCCACUUGACAGGUGUGCACUGAAAUUUAUGAAAAGCUUUUCUAGCCAAGCCAUCAGGCUGCUGAAAAGAAUGGUGAAUGCCUUGAGCCUUGACAUUUAUUACAGCUUUGCCAGCAUAUCUGUCUUGUAGAGUGUGAUUUGAAAAACGAUAUGUCUAACCAUGAUCUUAAUAAGCUCAUUUGUUCCAGGAUCUCAUUGUACUUGUGCUUGCUGAUAGAAGAGGAGAAAGCCAACAAUAUAAAUAACGGAAGCUUCCUGGUGAAAUGGCUCCACUUAUUUCAAUAUGGAGACAGUCCGAUGUUUAACAUUACCAGUUGCCAUACCUGAAAGAGGAAUAAGAAUGCUGCUUUGCGGUGUUUCAGAUUUAUAGAAAUGUGAGACAUGCUAACCAACCAUCAACAUACUUUAUCUUGGAGCAUCAUGUCUGAAAGGUCAGAUUUGCAUAUGAUAAAAGAGCAGGAGGCUAAUUAAAGAAUCCAUGAUCUUUCGAUCUUCUGGAUCCUAAAAUCACGCUGACCUGGCAACUAACCGUUUGACAGUGGGACCACUGGGCACUAGAAAGUUCUCCAUAUAUGGAUAGUAAAUGUGGAAUGACAUAAUAUUCUGAAAAGGAGAUGUUAGAUCUGAAGGUGGAUCUGCUUUAAAAUUCCGAGAGGAUGAGAUGAGGUAAUGUUAGUAAGUGGUUAACGUUAUAUCUGGUGCAUAGUAAUUGCACAUAUGUAGUAGCUGUUAUUAUUGUAAUUAGAAGCAGUGGCGCUGGUGGGAUUGGAUAGCAGUGUAAGUAAGUGCGGGGAGGCUGUUCACAGGCCAGGAAGUCUGUUUCUUGCCUAGGGAUGCAGAUCAGAGCCAGCCUGAUGCUGAGCAUGCACCCGUGGCGACCUCUAUCUCAGGAUGAUGGUGAGAGCAAGCUGGGAGUUCUGAACUUAACCCUGAGACUCUAAGAAAGGGGGGAGACAGGAGCCAAUCUGAACUGGAAAUCAAGGGAAGAUUAGAAAUAAGAUUCCACACGUUGCUUCUCAAUCCACAUUGGACAGACAGUAGUGUAGAGGGUGUUUUUGUUGCUACAAUUACUCUUAUUCUCUGGCGACUGCUUCAGCCAUCUGGUUGCCUACGCAACUUCCUUGAGUGUUGCAAGUGUUACUUUUUACAGUUUCUGUGUUACCAGAGAGAAUUAUUAAAGGAGAAUGAGACUAAAGCAGCAUUUUAGAAAAUAAGCAGAGCUAUCAGGAUUCGGAAAAACUGCAAUGGUCUGAAGUCUAUGCCAUUGUAACUGGAUCAUAACCGUAGCACACUGGAAUGGUUCAACAGGAACCACACCACUAUAGGUCAUUCUCACUUGGCUCUUGAGUGGUGACUGCUUCUCAGAGCUAUGGUGUCACCAGCAUUUGUGGUCAAUAAAAUAAAUAGUUGAUUCUUUGAGCAAGAAUCUAGAGACACUUCAUGGGCUAGAUGACAUCUCAAGAUCUGUUGACAGGGAGAUCUCAUCAAGAUGGUGGCAUAGGCAGACUCUGAACUCACCUCAUCCCAUGAAUGCAACCAGGUUACAACUAUUCUUGGAAAAAAUACCCCAGAGAGAGAACUGAAAACUGGAUAAGAAGAACCCCUACAACAAGUGACAGUCCUGACUGAGAUGGAAGAAGCAGAACUUCCUUCUGGAAAGAAGAGGGGCCACCUUUAUAAGCCACAGAGCUUCACAGCUGAGCAGAAGCCACCUUAAGGACAUCUCUCCUGGGUAUGUGUUAUACAGAGGGCUCUCUCUUCCUGUCUGAUGUCAUGACUGCUGCUGGACAUCUUCAGAAAUUUCUGUUUAUCAUUAAAAGCAAAAGGCUCAGAACAAGGUGACAUUUAAAAAGUGGAAAUCAUAAUAUUUUGAUUCUUGAGCUCUAGCUUAAAAGUUUAAAAAAAUGUUCUUUCUUGAAAGAUAUUAAAUACCAAAUUUUUAAACCCAGAGUAUUCUUCCAGGUACCAUUUAUUCAUUACUUACAUUUUAUGGCCCACGAAAGUUGGUGAUACAAAGCCAAAAGCCAUGCUAUAGUAGUACACAUGUGGCAGUAUUUUAUGAGAGGUAUGUCUUAGGAUUUCAAAGUAAAUGGUCAUUUUUGGUUAUCUCAUAAAAGCUAUUGCGGAAAAACAAAACAAAACGUUUUAAAAGCUAUUAAUCAACAUUAUUUUUCUCCUUUCUGGGUAUUUCUCUCAGAUGGAAAUACCCAAUUGGAGUAGCUGGUGGACUCUAUAGGUAAUCAUUUAGGAGUCAGUGUGGUAGUACAGACAGAAGAGAAACCCUAUGCUUUAUCCUAACUUUGGUUUCCAAACUUCUAAGCCUUUAGGGGAAGGAAGAAUUUUCAAGGAUUAGACUAAAUAUUUGGGUGAAACAAGGGGAAGAGUCUAGGGUCUCCUAGACCCAAUUUGCAGUCUAGAAACAUUUGCCUUAGGCUGGGAAAGAGAGAUGGAGAAAAAGAAAUGAGAUACGAUUGUGUUAAGGGGCCUUAGAGGGAGCAUUAUCUGCAUCCAUCUCUUGGGCAGAGCCCAGAGAUAGUCUAAGAUCUUAAGAAAUGACUGUGAGCUUCCUAGAGGUAAUUGUGAGCCAUAGAAAGCUUUGCAGAGAUACCCACACCUCGGGUUCACUGAGCUGAGGAUUAUUUUAAGGUUGGACCUUACCUUGUGCCCAAGUGAUUCAAGGAUCCAAAAAUCCUUGGCCCCUUUCUCACAUCUCUUGUGAAGUGACCACUUGUAAACCCUCUGGCACAAACUUAAGAGCAAGAAUAUAAACCCAAAAUUCACUGAGUAGAUUUCUUCUCUUGAGAGGCUUGCAAUUGAUUUGUUAUAGAACACAAAGUUGCGUUUCUAGUUCAUCCAAGCAUGUGUACUGAGAUUCAUAUUAAAUGCAUUAUUUAUAUAUUGUGAAUUAUCCCAGAAAAGAUUUAAGGAAUAUUGCAAAAGUUUGAAAUUUUUCUUUUGUACUUUUCAUGAAUUUUGUUAAAGGCAGUGUUUAUGUAAUAUGCUCUGUUCAGAUGGGGUACAGAUUAUCUGGACUGCCCACUCUGUUCACUAGAAGCCUAACUCAACAGCCUGGUAUGUUUCAGUUCAGCUAUUUAACUACAGCAGUACCUAGAGGAGUUUUUAGCUCAGUAUUUUGCAAAAACAACAAAAGGAUGUUUUGAUAGCUACCAAAUCAAUACACUAUACGAACUUUGUUCAGUCUGUGUGCAUAUUUGUAUACAACUAUUUGCAAAAGCUAUGUAUUGGGUUGGCUAUCAAUGUCUACCUUCAACUUCCUCUUUGCUUAAGAAUAGAUAAUGACCUCAAAUCUACUCACAAAACUUCUGGUCAAGAGAGAAUCCCCUUUAGUGAGUGUCAUGCUUCUCUUGUGCCAUGAUGAUUACUUUUGUUUCAAGCCUCUUAUGGCUGUAACGUUUUAUUUUUUUACUUUGCUCACAGAAUCACACAAAGGACAACUUUAAGCACUGAACCAUUUUUGGAAGAUUUCUGUGGAAGACAUAGUUUGUCCUCCAAAUGCUUUAUGUGCAUUCUUUGUGUGAAUGGCUGCCUGGUGUUGCCACUCUGAUCCCUUUAAUUGCAGAGUUUUUGUGUUCUUGUUGACCAGCGUUCCUGCUGCCUGAUCAGUGUUCUGAAUAUGGCAUCAUGCUCUGCAGUGAGGAGACAAGGGCAUUUUAAAUGUCUUUUGUGGACAAGAAACACUUUAUGUAUAUGGUCCAAGAUAACGACAGAUUUUCCCCAUGAUUCAGCAUCAAGACCAUAGUGGGUUAACACAAUUUAGUAUUCUCCUGUUGUCUUUCUAUUUUUUGACUUCAUAACCAAAAUAAGGGAGACAUAUUUGCACCCAUGAACCUGGGGACAGCAUUAGUAAAACCUGACCUUUAGCUGUGGAUCUCUGCUCCCUUUGCUUGUAGUUGUGUUAUAUGAGUCGACCUGUGCCUACUGAUUUAUUAUCAAUGUUUUUCAAAAGCUGGGUUUCUCCCAAUGAGGAAAAGCAAUUACUAAUGUGAUCAAAAUUGUUGAAAUCUUUCUGAUUUUCCAAUAACUCAUGAGAGUUCUCAAUGGCACUUUGGGGCCUCUUAUUAUACUCUACAUCAAAUAUGGGAGAAACAGAAAGUAACAUGUGCAAAUAAUUUAUAAGGCAUUUAUAUGCUACAUAAUCUAGUUUUAGAAAUCCAUGUAAUGAUUCUUUCUGGGAGUGAUUUUCAUUGAUUAACCUUUAGGUCAGUUUGUUAUUUUUAAAUAACCAACCAUGACUUUGUUUCAUUAUCUUUAACCUCUGAUUCCUCUAGUUUAUUAAUUAUCAAAAUAGUUAAUUAUUUGAUAAGUACCAGAGAUUUAUUCUAGCUAUCUUGUUCUCUAAUGAUUUCUUAAACAAUAAGAAUAGCACUUUAAUACACAUUUUCUCUAGAAUAUCCAUCUCCUUCAGAGGGUAAUAGAGCAUUAGUAGUCUUUUUUAAUAAGAUAAAUGAGCUAUUUCCAAAAUCUGUACACUUUAUAACAUUACAUCAAAUAUUGCAUUACUGAAUUAACUAUAUUGAUAUAUGGAAAAAUAAAAAUCACAUUGAAAAUCUUUUUUGUGAAGAUCUGGCAAAUUCAAGUUUAGAGACACAACAUAAGAGACAGUGUUUUUAUCUAAAAUUAUUGUCAAAUUUUAGAAGGAACAAGACAAGGAAAAAAAUCCCUGUUUGGACAGUUUUACUCAAUUAAAAUGAAGAAUAAAAUUAAGCUAGUUGUGUGGAUAAUUAAGGCUAAAUCAUCCUUCUUAAAGUAUAUUGUUGCAUCAAAUAAUGUUACAGAGUUUUUUUCCUUUUUCAUUUUAUUCUGCUAAUGUAGAUCUAGACUUUAUAUGAACCUCAGGAAGAACAACUACAAAAUAGAAUCCACACAUAGCAAAAUAGAGUUAGAUGUGUAACAAAUUCAGCAUCCUCUAUUUAGGCAAGACUGACAUUGCACAAAAAGCCUGACAGAGAUUCCGUAUUUAUUUACCUCAGAGUUGAAUCAAGUUCAAUGAAAAGUGAUUUGUAACUUGCUUAUUCAGUGAACUUGAAUAAAUAACUCACAAAUCAAUGUCUUAGAAGAAUUCGGUAGCUAGCCUAUUUCAUUUGAAACCAUACUAUAGCCUAUCAAUUUCCUCCUCUAGAUACUGUUGAACAGAAAAAACUGGAAUAGAAGUAGGCCAUUCGACUUACCUGCCAAGAAGGACAGUUCAAUUCCAAAAAGGGAAAAAUGUGCUUGGAGUUUUAAAACUACUGUUUCUAGCUACCACUACUACCCUCAAAAUUUCAGAACUAAGGAAAAGGGACCUCUGACAUGGACCAUCUGCUUUAGAGGACCUGGAUCUGACUUAGCACGUUGCUCUUCAUAGAGACAUGAGUCCACAGGGUGAAGCAGAUAUCUCCACCCAGAUGUGUCCACCAUGUUCCUUCCUUCUAGACCAUUCUUCAAGUACCCGGGGGACCAAGCCCACUUGCAAGACCUGCACAGCCUUCUUCUCAGGACCCUCCUCCAAAGAACGGACCACAUUGCACUUGGGUCAGAGAAAUGGCAAGUAGGGGCAAUUUGCAGGGGUGUGGAUAAAGCUUGGACAUCCAGGCUGUGGUGUGAAUGAGAGGUCUCUCUUGGGACAAAAAUAGAAUGAGGAACAAAUUACUGGCCAAAGAUACGGACCUGGAGCAGGCACUCUCCAUGCUAUCACAUUCUAGUGCACAAUUCUGUGUAGUCCAAAAAUUUAAAAUUUGAACCUGGCUUUACCAAUUGUUAAAAAGAUACAUUUUUUAAGGUAGGAAAAUAGAUCUUUUAUUUAACAUUGUGUCAGUUUGAUUUAUAACUAAGUAUUUAGAUAUAUGGCAUAUGGGCCACCAUUUGUACUCUUGCCCCUGGCCCUUCAAUGUUAAGGACAGGCUUACCAGCUACCGCCCUAUCUCUCUACUCUCCUUCACGACUAGUCACUGAGCCACCACCCAGGACUCAGCAGCCUCCCCUGGAUUACAUCCAUAUAAGAAUUCAACAGAGAAAUGGCGGGAAGACUCUUACUACUGUCCAUCGGAUUAUUGAUGAUUGUGAUAAAAGGAAACUAGCGAAGGCAUUUAAGGAGAAAUUUGUCACCAUAGGACUGUAACUGAGCAUCCAGAAUAUGGAGAAGUAAUUCACCUAUAAGGCAACCAGCACAAGAACAUAUGCUAGGUCCUGGUAGAGAUUGGGCUGGCUGAGGAUGACCAGCUGAAUGUUCAUGGGUUUUAAGUGCUUUUGGCUCAUUGAAGCUUGAGUGAGGACUUCCUUGCAAUGAGUAGAAUUUCCCUUCUGUCCCUUGUCAUAAGUUUAAAGACCUCAGAGCUUGCAUAAUGUGUAAUCAUUUAGGGUCUGCUUUUAACUUGGACUAGUGUAACUCCUUCAUGCAAUAAACUGAAAAGAGCUAUGCUGUCUAUUCUCGAAGUCCUUUGUUUAAACAGAGAUCAAGCAAUAGGUGCCCAGAAGUGUCCAGCCUGAAACCAAGCAAUAACAUGAUGUUUUGGCCAAGUCCAGAGCCCCAAGAUCACUGACGGCUAUGUCUGGCCAGAAGUUCUUCAGCCCCCCUUCUACAGAGUUCCCUGCCAUAAGAGAAUGCCACAACCUGAACAGCCCUCAAUGAAGCUGAGAGGAGAGGAUGGGGUAAAGCAGCAACAGCAGCUGUUCCACUAGAUGGGAGCCUUUGGUACUCAAAGAAUGAUCCCCUGUUGUCUCCAGCCUGACCAGGUGGUGGAGCUUAGAGGGGCUACCUUGUCUCUAGUGAGGUGAUAUAUACCUUACUUAAACAAUACUUUAUCACUAAAAAAUGCUAACCAUCACCUGAGCCUUCAGUGAGUCGUAGUCUUUUUGCUGGUGGAGGGUCUUGUAAAAAACAAAGUUUCUGCAAAGCUCAAUAAAGCAAAGUGCAAUAAAAUGAUGUGUGCCAAUAGAGACUAAAAGGGCACUAGAAAAGAUCGAUGAAACUAAGCUGUUUUUUUAAAAAGAUAAACAAAAAUGACAAACUUUUAGCUAGAUUCAUCAAGAAAAAAUAGAA